UAAUACGUAGGGCGCGAGCGUUGUCCGGAAUUAUUGGGCGUAAAGAGCUCGUAGGCGGCUGGUCGCGUCUGUCGUGAAAUCCUCUGGCUUAACUGGGGGCUUGCGGUGGGUACGGGCCGGCUUGAGUGCGGUAGGGGAGACUGGAACUCCUGGUGUAGCGGUGGAAUGCGCAGAUAUCAGGAAGAACACCGGUGGCGAAGGCGGGUCUCUGGGCCGUUACUGACGCUGAGGAGCGAAAGCGUGGGGAGCGAACAGG
rnacentral:rRNA from 1 species